GAUGAAGAACGCAGCGAAAUGCGAUACUUGGUGUGAAUUGCAGAAUCCCGUGAACCAUCGAGUCUUUGAACGCAAGUUGCGCCCGAAGCCAUUAGGCCGAGGGCACGCCUGCCUGGGCGUCACACGUCGUUGCCCCCCCAUCUACUCCUUCGGGAUUGCGGGGGGCGGAUGAUGGCCUCCCGUGCGCCUCGCCGCGCGGUUGGCAUAAAUGCCAAGUCCUCGGCGACGCACGUCACGACAAUCGGUGGUUGCGAAACCUCGGUUGCCCGUCGUGUGCGGUCGUCGCGCAUCGAGGGCUCGAAAAAAUUGCCGGGUUCCGGCUCGGCUUUCAACGCGACCCCAGGUCAGGCGGGGUUACCCGCUGAAUUUAAGCAUAUCAAUAAGCGGAGGA
rnacentral:misc_RNA from 1 species